CCAGCAGCCGCGGUAAUUCCAGCUCCAAUAGCGUAUAUUAAAGUUGUUGCAGUUAAAAAGCUCGUAGUUGGAUUUCUGGCAGGAGCGACCGGUCUCACACUCUGUGUGAGAACUCGUGUUGUCUCUGGCCAUCCUUGGGGAGAUCCUGUUUGGCAUUAAGUUGUCGGGCAGGGGAUACCCAUCGUUUACUGUGAAAAAAUUAGAGUGUUUAAAGCAGGCUUAUGCCGUUGAAUAUAUUAGCAUGGAAUAAUAAGAUAGGACUUUGGUACUAUUUUGUUGGUUUGUGCACCAGAGUAAUGAUUAAUAGGGACAGUUGGGGCUAUUCGUAUUCCAUUGUCAGAGGUGAAAUUCUUGGAUUUACCAAAGACUAACUGGUGCGAAAGCGUUUGCCAAGGAUGUUUUCAUUGAUCAAGAACGAAAGG
rnacentral:rRNA from 1 species